ACACUCCUGCGGGAGGCAGCAGUGGGGAAUUUUGGACAAUGGGCGAAAGCCUGAUCCAGCAAUGCCGCGUGCAGGAUGAAGGCCUUCGGGUUGUAAACUGCUUUUGUACGGAACGAAAAAGCUCCUUCUAAUACAGGGGGCCCAUGACGGUACCGUAAGAAUAAGCACCGGCUAACUACGUGCCAGCAGCCGCGGUAAUACGUAGGGUGCGAGCGUUAAUCGGAAUUACUGGGCGUAAAGCGUGCGCAGGCGGUUAUGUAAGACAGAUGUGAAAUCCCCGGGCUCAACCUGGGAACUGCAUUUGUGACUGCAUGGCUAGAGUACGGUAGAGGGGGAUGGAAUUCCGAGUGUAGCAGUGAAAUGCGUAGAUAUGCGGAGGAACACCGAUGGCGAAGGCAAUCCCCUGGACCUGUACUGACGCUCAUGCACGAAAGCGUGGGGAGCAAACAGGAUUAGAAACCCUGGUAGUCCC
rnacentral:rRNA from 1 species